rnacentral:rRNA from 1 species
AGAGUUUGAUCAUGGCUCAGAUUGAACGCUGGCGGCAGGCCUAACACAUGCAAGUCGAGCGGUAGCACAGAGAGCUUGCUCUCGGGUGACGAGCGGCGGACGGGUGAGUAAUGUCUGGGAAACUGCCUGAUGGAGGGGGAUAACUACUGGAAACGGUAGCUAAUACCGCAUAACGUCGCAAGACCAAAGUGGGGGACCUUCGGGCCUCAUGCCAUCAGAUGUGCCCAGAUGGGAUUAGCUAGUAGGUGGGGUAAUGGCUCACCUAGGCGACGAUCCCUAGCUGGUCUGAGAGGAUGACCAGCCACACUGGAACUGAGACACGGUCCAGACUCCUACGGGAGGCAGCAGUGGGGAAUAUUGCACAAUGGGCGCAAGCCUGAUGCAGCCAUGCCGCGUGUAUGAAGAAGGCCUUCGGGUUGUAAAGUACUUUCAGCGAGGAGGAAGGCAUUAAGGUUAAUAACCUUGGUGAUUGACGUUACUCGCAGAAGAAGCACCGGCUAACUCCGUGCCAGCAGCCGCGGUAAUACGGAGGGUGCAAGCGUUAAUCGGAAUUACUGGGCGUAAAGCGCACGCAGGCGGUCUGUCAAGUCGGAUGUGAAAUCCCCGGGCUCAACCUGGGAACUGCAUUCGAAACUGGCAGGCUAGAGUCUUGUAGAGGGGGGUAGAAUUCCAGGUGUAGCGGUGAAAUGCGUAGAGAUCUGGAGGAAUACCGGUGGCGAAGGCGGCCCCCUGGACAAAGACUGACGCUCAGGUGCGAAAGCGUGGGGAGCAAACAGGAUUAGAUACCCUGGUAGUCCACGCCGUAAACGAUGUCGACUUGGAGGUUGUGCCCUUGAGGCGUGGCUUCCGGAGCUAACGCGUUAAGUCGACCGCCUGGGGAGUACGGCCGCAAGGUUAAAACUCAAAUGAAUUGACGGGGGCCCGCACAAGCGGUGGAGCAUGUGGUUUAAUUCGAUGCAACGCGAAGAACCUUACCUACUCUUGACAUCCAGAGAACUUAGCAGAGAUGCUUUGGUGCCUUCGGGAACUCUGAGACAGGUGCUGCAUGGCUGUCGUCAGCUCGUGUUGUGAAAUGUUGGGUUAAGUCCCGCAACGAGCGCAACCCUUAUCCUUUGUUGCCAGCGGUUAGGCCGGGAACUCAAAGGAGACUGCCAGUGAUAAACUGGAGGAAGGUGGGGAUGACGUCAAGUCAUCAUGGCCCUUACGAGUAGGGCUACACACGUGCUACAAUGGCAUAUACAAAGAGAAGCGACCUCGCGAGAGCAAGCGGACCUCAUAAAGUAUGUCGUAGUCCGGAUUGGAGUCUGCAACUCGACUCCAUGAAGUCGGAAUCGCUAGUAAUCGUAGAUCAGAAUGCUACGGUGAAUACGUUCCCGGGCCUUGUACACACCGCCCGUCACACCAUGGGAGUGGGUUGCAAAAGAAGUAGGUAGCUUAACCUUCGGGAGGGCGCUUACCACUUUGUGAUUCAUGACUGGGGUGAAGUCGUAACAAGGUAACCGUAGGGGAACCUGCGGUUG